CUUUUGGCUAAAAGCUAAAUGUGAACCUUUCAAAAUGAACUCAUUGCUGUCUUCCUCUCAAAAGCCUUCAGAUGGUCAGAUAAAGUACCUGAUGCUGAAAAACAGGAAAUUGAAUCAUGUCUCCAAAAUGUGCCUUUUGUCAUGCACUGUUACAGCUAUAUUUCUUGGUAAGUCUGAUGUUCUCCUUUAUGCAUAUUUUGUGAUUACAAGAUUGUUAUUGACCUCUUGGGAUUUUAAU
rnacentral:lncRNA from 1 species